ACGCUUCUUUCCUUGGAGCCACAGAUGCUGCUGAGAAGUGAAAACUCCCCCUUUCCAGCGAACACAUCUGGAGUCAGGCUGGGGAGGGGACAGGAAUCUCUAACGCCCUCUUGGAAAUCAGGAGACCAUUAGAGGAGACAGUCUUAGAUGAAGACAGAGUACGGCAAUGAAAAGAAAGUAGGUCAUCUGACUUUCAGCUUGUGGGAAGUGGUCUCGGAGAAGAUUAAAGACAACUAAACUAAUGAUGGAAGGGGGCGAUUAAGGAAGAAGCCAGUCAACUUCAUCAAGGUCUGGAGCUCUUGCUGAAAGGACAUCAGAGCAUGCACAGAAUAGUUGUGGAAAAAUCGUAAGAAGCUGGUAACAAGAAGUAG
rnacentral:lncRNA from 1 species